CAAGAUCUUUAUGACAUAGUGUGGACUGCCAUUCGACAACUCAGAUCUAUUGGGUUAUAUGUUACAGUCAUUGUCUGUGAUGGGGUCAGCACCAACAGAAAUUUUUUAAGCUGCACAGAUCUGACAAUUGUAUGAAAGAUGGGGUAACAUAUAGAGUUUGUGAUAUAUAUGAUCCUUCACGAUACAUUUGGUUCAUGUCUGAUGUUUGCCAUCUCAUGAAAACAACAAGAAAUUGUUGGGAGAAUUCAUCGAAGGAGGGUACAAGACAUUUGGAGAUUAAUUGAAAGCAUAUUUUAUGGAGCCACCUCAUUGAUGUUUAUGAAAAAACUAGAGGAAACUGGGUUGUACAUAGGUAAAAAGUUAACUCUUGAACAUGUAAAACUGAGUUCAUAUUCAAGAAUGAAUGUGCAUCUAGCAGCUCAAGUUUUGAGUAAAUCUGUGGCUGACACAUUUAAGACUUUAAGAGAGCUACAGGGGAAUGAAAGCUCAAUUUUCAAAGAUACUACUGAAACUGAGCGGUUCUGUAGAUAUUUUAACAAGUUCUUUGAUUGCUUAAACACCAGGAGCCUAUAUGAAGCUAAGCACAAGAGAAAUGAUGAUA